UACGUAGGGUGCGAGCGUUAAUCGGAAUUACUGGGCGUAAAGUGUGCGCAGGCGGCCGCGCAAGUCGAGUGUGAAAGCCCCGAGCUUAACUUGGGAACUGCGCUCGAAACUACUUGGCUAGAGUGUGGCAGAGGGAGGUGGAAUUCCACGUGUAGCGGUGAAAUGCGUAGAGAUGUGGAGGAACACCGAUGGCGAAGGCAGCCUCCUGGGCCAACACUGACGCUCAUGCACGAAAGCGUGGGGAGCAAACAGG
rnacentral:rRNA from 1 species